rnacentral:rRNA from 1 species
AUGGCUCGGCGCUACCACCUGACCCUCCUCUCCGUCUUCUCCUUCCUGCUCCUCACCGGCCUUUUGGCUACUCAUCAGUCCCGAGGGAAGAAAGUCGGGAAGAUAGUGACCCUGACCGUCCAGUACCCGGCCGUGGACUCACCGCCGGGGGAGAAGAUCAAGAUCUCGGCGCACUACGUUGAUGAGCACGGAGGCGACCGCCACUUCGACCUCGACUGCGAUGAUGACGAGCCCCUCGGUUUCGGCAUGAAGUACCUUCUCUCGACCCUGGAGGGCAUACGAGGUGCGCGGGAGUCUCGAUCCGAGCUCUAG